CACUUCAAGUGAGGCAGCAGGCGCGCAAUUACCCAAUCCUGACUCAGGGAGGUAGUGACAAGAAAUAACAAUAAACCGGCUUAUGCCGGUUUAAUUGGAAUGAGUACAAUUUAAACAUCUUAACGAGGAACAAUUGGAGGGCAAGUCUGGUGCCAGCAGCCGCGGUAAUUCCAGCUCCAAUAGCGUAUACUAAAGUUGUUGCAGUUAAAAAGCUCGUAGUUGGAUUUCUGUGGGGACGGAGCGGCCGGCCGCACAUCGCGGUUCGAGCUAGCGCUUUCCCUACAUCCUGCCGCGAACCGUGCUACCAUUAAUUUGGUGGCGCCGGGGAUCGGCUCGAUUACUUUGAGAAAAAUAGAGUGUUCAAAGCAGGCCACAUGCCUUGAAUAAGUUAGCAUGGAAUAAUAACUAAGGACUUCGGUUCUAUUUUGUUGGUGUUCGGGACUGAAGUAAUGAUUGAUAGGGACAGUUGGGGCGGUCUGUAUUCCAAAGCGAGAGGUGAAAUUCUUAGACCUUCGGAAGACAAACAGCUGCGAAAGCGUUCCGCAAGGAUGUUCCCUUUGAUCAAGAACGAAAGUUGGGGGAUCGAAGACGAUCAGAUACCGUCGUAGUCUCAACUAUAAACUAUACCAGCUAGGGAUCGGCCAACGUUAUUUUAUACCGACUUGGUCGGCACCUUAUGAGAAAUCAAAGCAUCUGGGUUCCGGGGGGAGUAUGGUCGCAAGGCUGAAACUUAAAGGAAUUGACGGAAGGGCACCACCAGCCGUGGAGCCUGUGGCUUAAUUUGACUCAACACGGGAAAACUUACCAGGUCCAGACAUAGUAAGGAUUGACAGAUUGAUAGCUCUUUCUUGAUUCUGUGGGUGGUGGUGCAUGGCCGUUCUUAGUUGGUGGAGUGAUUUGUCUGGUUAAUUCCGUUAACGAACGAGACCCCAGCCUGCUAAAUAGCGCGCGUGAGCUUUGCUCGCGGCGAGCUUCUUAGAGGGACUAUGAUGCGCGAUAGCACAUGGAAGUUUGGGGCAAUAACAGGUCUGUGAUGCCCUUAGAUGUUCUGGGCCGCACACGGGCUACACUGGCGCCCGCAACGAGCAUAUCAGCUGGCCCGAGAGGGUCUUGGCUAAUCUUUUGAACCGGCGCCGUGCUUGGGAUUGACCUUUGCAAUUGUUGGUCAUGCAACGAGGAAUGCCUUGUAAACGCGAGUCAUCAGCUCGCAUUGAAUACGUCCCUGUCCUUUGUACACACCGCCCGUCGCUCCUACCGAUGAAUGUUCCGAUGAAAUUUUCGGAGAGCACCUGUGAACUUGGCUCUGCCUUGCGAACGGGAGGCUCAAAGUCAC
rnacentral:rRNA from 1 species